rnacentral:lncRNA from 1 species
GGUGUGCUUAUAAGUAAUAAAUGUGGAGGAUAUUGGUUGGUGCUUAAGAUCUGUUAGUCAGAGAAUGAGGUAGAGACACUGAAAGACAGAGAUAGAGAGAGGGUAAUAAUAACCACAACAGUUAUACAUCGUAAUCAAAAGCACCAAAUUUACCAAAAACUUAAAACCUUUCUGACCAAGUCCUUCUUCCACAGAUGGAAACAGAAUAAAAGCUACAAUCUGUGAGAUUUGGAAAAUGAAAACUUACUCAGUAUAGAGAGAGGAAUGAGGUAGAGUUAGGGUUUGCGUCCUCUACAAGCAUUUUCAAAGGUGGGGGCCGGAUUUUGACAGGCCCUGUAUCCCUUUCCAUGACCCUUACUUUAGCCUAAAUGGUAAGGUUGAAAAUGGGGAGCGUGCCUUCUCCCCUUUCCCUAGGGUUUUGCUCCUUUUUUCCCAAUGAGUACAAGUUUUGGGUGGUGCUUUGGGUACCC